GUAUGAGUGUGGGAUGGAUGGUGCAUGAUUGGCUAUAUUCUACAUGUAUGAGUGUGGGAUGGAUGAUGCAUGAUUGGCUAUAUUCUACAUGUAUGAGUGUGGGAUGGAUGAUGCAUGUAUGAGUGUGGGAUGGAUGGUGCAUGAUUGGCUAUAUGCUACAUGUAUGAGUGUGGGAUGGAUGAUGCAUGAUUGGCUAUAUGCUACAUGUAUGAGUGUGGGAUGGAUGAUGCAUGAUUGGCUAUAUGCUACAUGUAUGAGUGUGGGAUGGAUGAUGCAUGAUUGGCUAUAUGCUACAUGU